ACUUAUUCUCAGGGCGGGGUGCAAUUCCCCACCGGCGGUAUCCCGGUUUUUCCGGGGAGCCCGCGAGCGCUUCCUGACGGCAGGAAGGUCAGCAGACCCGGUGAGAGGCCGGGGCCGACGGUGACAGUCCGGAUGAAAGAGGAUGAGA
rnacentral:ncRNA from 1 species